rnacentral:rRNA from 1 species
GGGGGGGGUUCCGGGAUUUCUGGGCGUAAGCGCGCGCAGGCGGUGUCGUAAGUUGGAUGUGAAAUCUUUCGGCUUAACCGGGAGGAGCCAUUCAAUACUGCGGCGCUACGAGGGCAGAAGAGGGGAGCGGAAUUCCCGGUGUAGUGGUAAAAUGCGUAGAGAUCGGGAGGAACACCAGUGGCGAAGGCGGCUCUCUGGUCUGCACCUGACGCUGAGGCGCGAAAGCGUGGGGAGCGAACGGGAUUAGAUACCCCGGUAGUCCACGCCGUAAACAAUGGGUACUGGGUGUGGGGAGUAUUGUUUCUCUCCGUGCCGAAGCUAACGCGUUAAGUACCCCGCCUGGGGACUACGGCCGCAAGGUUAAAACUCAAAGGAAUUGACGGGGGCCCGCACAAGCAGCGGAGCGUGUGGUUUAAUUCGAUGCUACACGAAGAACCUUACCUGGGUUUGACAUGUACGUAGUAGUGAACCGAAAGGGGAACGAGCCUUCGGGCAGCGUACACAGGUGCUGCAUGGCUGUCGUCAGCUCGUGCCGUGAGGUGUUGGGUUAAGUCCCGCAACGAGCGCAACCCUCGUCGCUAGUUACAUGUGUCUAGCGAGACUGCCAGGUUAAUCCUGGAGGAAGGUGGGGAUGAUGUCAAGUCAGCAUGGCCUUUAUAUCCAGGGCUACACACACGCUACAAUGGCCGGUACAAUGGGAUGCCAAGCCGCGAGGCGGAGCAAAUCCUAAAAGCCGGUCUCAGUUCGGAUUGGAGGCUGCAACCCGCCUCCAUGAAGUCGGAGUUGCUAGUAACCGCAGGUCAGCCAUACUGUGGUGAAUACGUUCCCGGGCCUUGUACACACCGCCCGUCACGUCAUGGGAGUCGGCAACACCUGAAGCCGGUGGGCUAGCCCGCAAGGGGGGCAGCUGUCGAGGGUGGGGCUGGCGACUGGGACGAAGUCGUAACAAGGUAACCAGAC